GUAUAUUAAAGUUGUUGCAGUUAAAAAGCUCGUAGUCGGAUUUUGGCAUCACGCCGCACUGUCUGCCGAUUGGUAAGUACGGUUUGGCGGGUGCUUCCUUCCGGUGCUGCGUUCUGCUCUUAGUUGAGCGGUUCGUUGGUUCCGGUUCUUUUACUUUGAGAAAAUUAGAGUGUUCAAAGCAGGCCUAUGCUCUGAAUAGGUUAGCAUGGAAUAAUAGAAUAGGACUUUGGUUCUAUUUUGUUGGUUUCUAGGACCGAAGUAAUGAUAAAUAGGGACAGUUGGGGGCAUUCAUAUUCCAUUGUCAGAGGUGAAAUUCUUGGAUUAACGGAAGAUGAACUUCUGCGAAAGCAUCUGCCAAGGAUGUUUUCAUUGAUCAAGAACGAAAGUUAGGGGAUCAAAGACGAUCAGAUACCGUCGUAGUCUUAACCAUAAACUAUGCCGACUAGGGAUGUGGAGGCGUUAACUUUGUACGACCCUCCAUGCACCUUAUGAGAAAUCAAAGUCUAUGGGUUCCGGGGGGAGUAUGGUCGCAAGGCUGAAACUUAA
rnacentral:rRNA from 1 species